rnacentral:rRNA from 1 species
UACGUAGGGUGCAAGCGUUAAUCGGAAUUACUGGGCGUAAAGCGUGCGCAGGCGGUUUUGUAAGUCUGUCGUGAAAUCCCCCGGGCUUAACCUGGGAAUGGCGAUGGAGACUGCAAGGCUAGAGUUUGGCAGAGGGGGGGUAGAAUUCCACGUGUAGCAGUGAAAUGCGUAGAGAUGUGGAGGAACACCGAUGGCGAAGGCAGCCCCCCUGGGUCAAGAUUGACGCUCAUGCACGAAAGCGUGGGGAGCAAACAGG